rnacentral:lncRNA from 1 species
CGUGGCUUAGUAAUGCACCGUCGGAUGGGGACCGGAUUAGUACCUUAAAUUCGGACUCAGAAGCUACAUCGAAUAAAACACAUGACGUCGACCCUACUUUAAUUCGAACCCUUACUGAGGUCAUACAUGACGCAGUACAGCACGCAAUUGAACCUCUACGGGAAGAAAUCGCUUCGUUGCGCACAAUGGUAAUGUGGAUUGCUAUACAUUUGUUGUUGAUGUUGUUGUUGUUGUAGCUUUGAAUUUGUUUGAUUAUAUUUUUUUGGUUUCUUUUUGCAUUUUUCGAUGUUUAUUUUCCUCUUUUUUUUUCUAUUAAAUCAUUUUGUGGUUUUGUGUGAAGCUUUGGAUAUGAUGUGAUUUCUUUUGCUUCUCUAACGUAUUUUUUUGCUUCUCUUGUUGUUGCUAUUAUUAUUAUUAUUAUUAUUAUUAUUAUUAUUAUUAUUAUUAUUAUUAUUAUUAUUAUUAUUAUUAUCAUUAUUAUUAUUAUUAUUAUUAUUAUUAUUAUUAUUAUUAUUAUUAUUAUUAUUAUUAUUAUUAUUAUUUGGUGCCGACCUGGUAGAAUCGUUAACACACUAGACAAAAUACUUAGCGGUAUUUCGUCCGUCGUUACGUUCUGAAGACUAUUAUUAUUAUUAUUAUUAUUAUUAUUAUUACUACUACUACUACUACUACUACUACUACUACUACUACUACUACAACUACUACUACUACUACUACUACUACUACUACUAAGUGAAAGAGCAGUGCAUGCUAUCAAAGUGACACUAGGGUACAAAUAGACGCAGCCCGGUAUACCAAUCAUAACUACUCCUUUGAUAAGGGUAAACCAGGCACAUGCAUCACAACCAUAUGCGUGCAACUUGGUGAUCUAAUAUUAAGACAAACGGCGCCUGUCCUUGCAGAUGGGCCAAGUUAGAAUUUUCUUCAGGUCAAGUAGCCCAUCUCGCUCAAAAAGUGUUGUUUAAAGAUGUUGAACGAAAUACCCAUGAUAAGUGUUGUUUAAAGAUGUUGAACGAAAUACCCAUGUUUCCAUGGGUUAAUCAUUCACACCUUCCAAAUAUUCCUCUCUCACAUGACUAAGAUGCUCUCCUACUAUUUCUGUUCCUGAUCAGAGAUCUGCAUAUCAUCAGUCACUAAGGAAGACGCUCAACUGGUUACGGUCAAGCAACUGAUAUGCAAUCUGCGGUAUGGAACAGAAUAUUUCCUGUAGUCUAACGUUUGUACCAAGACAAAACAUAUAUAUGAUAACACUUCCAAUCAAUUAAUAUCAUGAGAGCUAGUGCCCGGUAUUGCAUCAGGGCAUUUAUUAUUAUGAUAAUAAUGAUAAUUAUUAUUAUUAUAGAGUGAGAGAGCAGUUCAUGCCAUCAAAGUAACACUGGGGUAAAAUAUACGAAGCUCAAUAUACCCAUCAUGACUACCCGUCUGAUAAGGGUACACUAGGCACAUGCAUCACAACCAUAUGUGCGCGACAUGGUGAUCUCAUAUCAAGAUAAACAGCACAUGACCUUGCAGGUGGGGCCCAGUUAGAAUUUUCUUCAGGUUGAGUAACCCAUCCCGCUCAAAAGGUCCCUGAAUAAGGGUUAUUUAAGGAUGUUGAAAAAAACACCCAUGUUUCCAGAGGUGACUUAUUCAAACCCCAAAGAAUCCCUCUCAACACAUGGCUAUGAUGCUCCCCCACUACUUCUGCUCGUGAUCAGAGAUGCACAUAUCGUCGGCCACUAAGGGAUAUGCCCAACUGGUUAAGGUCAAACAACUGACAAGCAAAUCUGUGGUAUUGAGCAGAAUAUUUGCUGUAGACCAUAUUUUAUACCAAGACAAAACAAUGUACAUGAUAACACUUCCAAUCAAUUAAGAUCAGAAGCCAUGAGAGCCACUGCCUGGUACUGCAUUAUUAUUAUUAUUAUUAUUAUUAUUAUUAUUAUUAUUAUUAAUUAUUAUUAUUAUUAUUAUUAUUAUUAUUAUUAUUAUUAUUAUUAUUAUUGUUAUUGUUAUUGUUAUUGUUGUUGUUGUUGUUGUUGUUUACUUUUAAUCAGCAUCUUUGUUACAAUAACUUGCUGAGUCACUCCCAGCCUCCUAGGGUGAAUGAAGUACAAGAGAUGUUACAUUAUGACUGAAAGCUAGGGGAAGGGAAGAGGCGGGGGCAGUAGCGAAAUAUCUUCGUUUAAUACUACACAUUUAAAUUGAUAGGGUUUUGUACGGAAAAUUAUUAUUAUUAUUAUUGUUGUUGUUGUUGUUGUUGUUGUUGUUGUUGUUGUUACUAUUAUUAUUAUUAUUAUUAUUAUUAUUAUUAUUAUUAUUAUUACUAUCAUUAUUAUUAUUUACUUUUAAUCUGUAUGUUUGUUACAAUCACUCACCAAAACACACCCAGCGUUCUAGGGUAAAUGUAGGAUAGGAGAUGUUACAGUAUGACUGAAAGCUUCGGAAAGGAAACUAGCAGAGGCAGUAGCAAAAUAGCUUCAUGUAAUACGACACAUACAUUUAAAUUGAAAGGGUUUUUCAA